rnacentral:lncRNA from 1 species
UAUAUAUAGGCCAUGGCUACUAUACUAUUAUGAGUAUUGGAGCUCUCGUACUCAUAAGUUGUUUUCAAUUAUGGAGCUUCCGAAUCGACGAUCCACUCCGUUAAAUAUUAUAUAGAGUAUUUGAAACUUCUAGAAAAUGAAUUUUGUAAAUUUUCGAAAUCAUAAUAAAGUCCAUCAAGUGGGCAUAAAAUGAACGGUCAAAAUCGAACGACGUUCUAAAAAAUGAUGAUCGGAUCCUUCAAUUCAAGAUCGGAGUAUAGAACCCUUCGUACUCAUAAGUUGUUUUAGAUGAUAGAGCUUUCGAAUCGACGAUUUAUAUCGUUAAACAUUCUCUAGAGCAUUUAAAACUUCUAGAAAUCAAAUUUUAUAAUUUUUCAAAAUCAUAAUAAAGUCCAUCAAGUGGGCAUAAAAUGAACGGUCAAAAUCGAACGACAUCCUAAAAAUGGAUGAUCGGAUCCUUCAAUUUAAGAUCGGAGUUAUUGAUAUUUAUCUAGAUAGUGAAUAGAAUUUUCUAUUAACAAUUCAACCGAUUUCGAUUCUUUUACACCGUUAAAGUAGCAAGUAUCCCAUAUCGGCCGUUUGUGAUCUUUUGAUCGUAAGAAAAAUGAUGUCGAAAAAUUAUAAAUUUUGAUUUUUAGAAGUUUUAAAUGCUCUAGAUAACGUUUAACGGUAUGGAUCAUUGAUUCGGAAGCUCUAUCAUCGAAAACGACUUAUAAGUAUGAGGGCGAUCGUACUCAUAAGAAUAUAGUAGCUGGACUAUAUAUAUAUAUAUAUAUAUAUAUAUAUAUAUAUAUAGUAGAGUUACUAUGCUAUCGGAAGCAUAGAGGAUCUGGUGCUUCC